rnacentral:lncRNA from 1 species
UCAGACUUCACAGAAGCAGGCAUGGCUAAAGAGACCCCCCCAAAGACCUCACAGCAAGCCCAGGAUGAGGAGAUUCAGCCUUUGUGAAGAGAUCUUGGAUGUUGAAGUAAAAUGUGAUUAUUCGUAUAGAAGUAACAGAGAUCUGGCCAAGGAUGGAGCAACAUCUCUCAAAGGCUGAGAACACUCUCUGGGUUGCACUUCGAUGGCAGCGGCAAAAGGGAUCAGCUGAGAUGGUGGAGUAGAGAGACCCAGAGCUCAUGUCCUCUCACAGACACACCAAUAAUACAACUAUUUAUACAAUAGCCAUUUGAUGAAAAAGGCUGGAUGCUACUAGAA